GUAAAAAUAUUGAUGGGAAGAGUAAUUUAAGUUAUAAACCUUUUAAGCGAGUGAGGGAUGGUGUAAGCCUCAUAAAGGCAACUUUUAUGAAGAACAUCCUUGAAUUUCUAACCGAAAUCUCUCCAUUAGAUAGUAGGCUUAGACGGUAUCUUACCGUUAAAAAAGAGAUAUAUUGAAUAAUUACAUUUCUUUCAAUAUUGUUUAAGAGAGCUUUUUAGCUAAUUUAGGUGGUACCGCGGAAAACUUUUAGACCUUUCGUCCUAUUA
rnacentral:ncRNA from 1 species